rnacentral:rRNA from 1 species
GCUCAAAUUUGAAAGCUGGCUCCUUCGGGGUCCGCAUUGUAAUUUGCAGAGGAUGUUUCGGGAGCAGCCCCCAUCUAAGUGUCCUGGAACGGACCGUCAUAGAGGGUGAGAAUCCCGUAUGGGAUGGGGUGUCUGCGCCCAUGUGAAACUCCUUCGACGAGUCGAGUUGUUUGGGAAUGCAGCUCUAAAUGGGUGGUAAAUUUCAUCUAAAGCUAAAUAUUGGCCGGAGACCGAUAGCGCACAAGUAGAGUGAUCGAAAGAUGAAAAGCACUUUGAAAAGAGAGUUAAAAAGCACGUGAAAUUGUUGAAAGGGAAGCGCUUGCGAUCAGACUCGCCUUGGGGGUUCAGCCGGCAUUCGUGCCGGUGUACUUCCCCCAGGGCGGGCCAGCGUCGGUUUGGGUGGCCGGUCAAAGGCCCUUGGAAUGUAACGCCUCUCGGGGCGUCUUAUAGCCAAGGGUGCCAUGCGGCCUACCUGGACCGAGGAACGCGCUUCGGCUCGGACGCUGGCAUAAUGGUCGUAAGCGACC